CUUGAGGGAUAUCAUUUGGGACGUGGUAGGAUUUUCGAUUUAUACUCCAUGCGCCAUAGCGUCAACUUAUAUCUUGAUGAUGAUAUGCGAUACACUUGUAAAGUCGAAUAUGAUUCGAAGUGGAACGUUGUCGUCUCAUAUCAUUGCGUUUUCUGCCGUGUUUGGUAUGGCCGCCAUAGAUUUCACCUACUCAUCCUGGCUAUUAGUGACAUUACAGAGACAUAUCGAAGCUUGGAGAGAGUGGCACGACAGCAAAUGUACUUUGAAGGUAGUUCUCCCAAAGAUAAAACUCAGGCCUCAUCGGCUGAAGAAAGGACAACCUUAACAAAUGCGAGACAUAAAAUUCAAAAUAAAAAUCUACGGAGUACAAUA